UCUACCAAAGGAUAAUAGUCUUCCAC
rnacentral:tRNA from 1 species